rnacentral:piRNA from 1 species
CAUCAGUCCUUCAGUGUUGGACAGUCAGGU